UCACUUAAUCUUUUCCAUUUAUGCUGGUCUGACACAGACAGUGCUACCCAUGAGUAGAGGACAACCUGGUCAGUUGUUUUCUACUUGCCUUGGGGCCUGUCUCUACAGCUCUGCCACACCU
rnacentral:snoRNA from 1 species